GGCCUGGUAGCUCAAUCGGUAGAGCAGCAGCCUUUUAAGCUGAAGGUCGUGGGUUCGAUUCCCACCCGGGCCACAA
rnacentral:tRNA from 1 species